rnacentral:tRNA from 1 species
AAGACACUAGUUAAACCGUCAUAACAUUGCUUUGUCAAGGCAAAACUGCGGGUUAGAGCCCCGCGUGUCUUA